GACGAACGCUGGCGGCGUGCUUAACACAUGCAAGUGGAGCGACGAACCAGGCUUCGGCCUGGGGCAGAGCCGCGAACGGGUGAGUAACACGUGGGUAACCUGCCUCGAUGACCGGGACAACCCGAGGAAACCCGGGCUAAUACCGGAUGUGCUCCUUCACAUCAGUGAAGACAGGAAAGGAAGCUUCGGCCUCCGCAUCGAGAUGGGCCCGCGGCCCAUUAGCUUGUUGGUGAGGAACGGCUCACCAAGGCUGCGAUGGGUAGCUGGUCUGAGAGGACGGAUCAGCCACACUGGGACUGAGACACGGCCCAGACUCCUACGGGAGGCAGCAGUGGGGAAUCUUGCGCAAUGCGCGAAAG
rnacentral:rRNA from 1 species